CUACGGGACGCAGCAGUAGGGAAUCUUGCGCAAUGGGCGAAAGCCUGACGCAGCAACGCCGCGUGGGGGAUGAAGGCCCUCGGGUUGUAAACCCCUGUCAGCAGGGACGAAACUGACGGUACCUGCAGAAGAAGCCCCGGCCAACUACGUGCCAGCAGCCGCGGUAAUACGUAGGGGGCAAGCGUUGUCCGGAUUUAUUGGGCGUAAAGAGCUCGUAGGCGGUUCGGUAAGUCGGGUGUGAAAAUCCAGGGCUCAACCCUGGGACGCCACCUGAUACUGCUGUGACUAGAGUCCGGUAGAGGAGCGUGGAAUUCCUGGUGUAGCGGUGAAAUGCGCAGAUAUCAGGAGGAACACCAGCGGCGAAGGCGGCGCUCUGGGCCGGUACUGACGCUGAGGAGCGAAAGCGUGGGGAGCAAACAGGAUUAGAUACCCCCGUAGUC
rnacentral:rRNA from 1 species